UUUCCGUAGGUGAACCUGCGGAAGGAUCAUUAAUGUGUUUGGGCCUCACGGCUCUUCAUUCCGACGCUGUGCGCCUUCGGGCUGCACGCUGAGGGAGCAUAUAUCCACCCCUGUGCACACACACGGUGGCGAGCUGGGUAACGGCUCGCCGCUGAUCUUUACACACGUCUAAAAAUCAUUGUAUGUUUAUUUGAAAUAAAAACACAACUUUCAGCAACGGAUCUCUUGGCUCUC
rnacentral:misc_RNA from 1 species